rnacentral:tRNA from 1 species
GUGCCUGCUGGGUGCCGGCAUCGCGGCGCUCGCCCUGCUGUGGUGGGCAGCGUGGCGGGUGGGGGCGUUCAAUGCAUCGGCUGGCGCGC